CCUACGGGCGGCAGCAGUGAGGAAUAUUGGUCAAUGGACGAGAGUCUGAACCAGCCAAGUAGCGUGAAGGAUGACGGUCCUAUGGAUUGUAAAACUCUUUUGUCGGGGAGCAAGGCCCGCCACGUGUGGCGGGAAGGAGAGUACCCGAAGAAAAAGCAUCGGCUAACUCCGUGCCAGCAGCCGCGGUAAUACGGAGGAUGCGAGCGUUACCCGGAUUUGUUGGGUUUAAAGGGUGCGUAGGCGGAAGGUUAAGUCAGCGGUCAAAUGUCGGUGCUCAACACCGGCCUGCCGUUGAAACUGGUCUUCUUGAGUGAGCGAGAAGUAUGCGGAAUGCGUGGUGUAGCGGUGAAAUGCAUAGAUAUCACGCAGAACUCCGAUUGCGAAGGCAGCAUACCGGCGCUCAACUGACGCUGAGGCACGAAAGCGUGGGGAUCGAACAGGAUUAGAUACCCCGGUAGUC
rnacentral:rRNA from 1 species